AACCUGCGUCAUACUUGCAAUAGACAGGUAAUAUAUAAGGUUCAGCAGCUCAGACUGGUUGACAAAGAGUUAGAGGAGAAGCAAUAGAGGGUUAGAGGAACUUUUGAAACCAGCCACUGCUUUGGGACAAAGAUUGAAAAUGGGACUUAAAGGAAUCUUGAUGAUCCUACUAAUGCUAAAUGCAAGUACAACGCUGACGACUGCACAGGCAAAUACUACAGCUGCUCCAACCACAACCACAGCGGCUCCAACCACAACCACAGUGGCUCCAACCACAACCACAGCUGCUCCAACCACAACAACAGCUGCU